rnacentral:rRNA from 1 species
UUACAUUUGAGUGAGUGGCGAACUGGUGAGUAACACGUGGGAAACCUGCCCAGAAGCGGGGGAUAACACCUGGAAACAGAUGCUAAUACCGCAUAACAACUUGGACCGCAUGGUCCGAGUUGAAAGAUGGCUUCGGCUAUCACUUUUGGAUGGUCCCGCGGCGUAUUAGCUAGAUGGGUAACGGCUCACCAUGGAAUGAUAUAGCCGACCUGAAGGGUAUCGCACAUUGGGACUGAGACACGGCCCAAACUCCUACGGGAGGCAGCAGUAGGGAAUCUUCCACAAUGGACGAAAGUCUGAUGGAGCAACGCCGCGUGAGUGAAGAAGGGUUUCGGCUCGUAAAACUCUGUUGUUAAAGAAGAACAU